GAUGAAGAACGUAGCGAAAUGCGAUAAGUAAUGUGAAUUGCAGAAUUCAGUGAAUCAUCGAAUCUUUGAACGCACCUUGCGCCCUUUGGCUAUUCUGAAGGGCAUGCCUGUUUGAGUAUCAUGAACACCUCAACUCUCACGGUUCGCCGUGAUGAGCUUGGACUUUGGGGGUAUUGCCGGCCCACCGCCGGCUCCUCUCAAAUGAAUCAGCUUGCCAGUGUUUGGUGGGUAUCGCAGGUGUGAUAACUAUCUACGCUUGUGGUUUUCCACCAAGUAACCUUCAGCAGUGGAGGUUCACUGGAGCUCACAGAUGUGUCUCUCCUCAGUGAGGGACAGCUCUUUGAAUGUUUGAUCUCAAAUCAGGUAGGACUACCCGCUGAACUUAAGCAUAUCAAUAAGCGGAGGA
rnacentral:misc_RNA from 1 species